rnacentral:snoRNA from 1 species
GGGUCGAUGAUGAUAUAUUGUCCUGAAGAGAGGUGAUGACUUAAAAAUCAUUCUCAAAAGGAUUAUGCUGAGGCCC